rnacentral:lncRNA from 1 species
UAAAUUAGCUUUGAUGCUGCAUAAAUUAAUAUCAGCAUGUUAGCAAAGGAAAAUUGGCAUCCCUCGGCACUAUGGCCUUAAGCUGUGCAGCGUUGUUGAUUCUUCUUUGAGACACCGUUCCACACGCACUCCCAUUUCUGCUCGUUGGGUGUUCAUAUAGAGCGUACCAUACUACAUCGUGAAGGUAGACUAAUCGUGCAAUUCUUUCAAACUCCCAAUGUCUCCCUUUCCCAUCGAAAUAUAUGUUAAGAGAGCAAUGAAAUACACCUUGCAUUCAGAGCAUCUUCAAGCUGAUAUUGACAGUAAGAUGAC